GGUGUCUCCCUUCCUCUGGAUAGACUUAAUUCGACCAAUUAUGAAUUCUGGUCAAUUAAAAUGCAGGCUUAUCUCAUAAAGGAAGGUUUAUGGGAUGUUGUAGAGAAUACUCCAGCCGAUGAUGACCGUGCUGGGCAAAGGACUGACAGACGUGCCAAAGCCUGCAUAAUUCUUGCUGUAGAGGACUCACAGCUGUUGCAUAUCAGGUCGGAAGUAAAUGCUGCUGCCUGCUGGGCAAAGUUGAAAGCCAUUUACCAACGUGAAACUGCAGGAGUUAAAAUGCUGUUAUGUCGUAAGCUGUAUAAUUUAAGGCUGCAGCCUAAUGCUUCGCUUACUGAACAUAUCAAUCAAAUGCGUUCAUUAUUUGAUCAGCUUGAUAUGAGAGGAAUGCACAUAGAGGAUGUACAGAGGCCCUACAUUUUGUUAUCAUCCUUAGACAGUAAUUGGGAGCAAUUAAUAUUGAGUCUACAGCAUAUUGACGAAGCACUGCUUACUUUUGACUUUGUAGCAACAAAACUCAUUGACUGUGAAAAGCAGCGUGUUUAUCAAAGAGAGCAAGCUCAUUCCUCAAAAGGGACAUUAGCUGGUGCAAGUUCUUCUGUUGCUGCUUCCUUGACAAAUGCACCAAAAGCCUUAAAGUGUUUUAAAUGUGGUCGCAUGGGACAUAUGGCUAAAAAUUGUACAAAGCCCAAACAAAAGAGAGGUUCUUACAAGAAGCCGUUUGAUAAAGGGGACUCAAUGGAACAUGUUUUGUUUGUUGCUUGUGAAAGUAAAAGAGCCUCCUGGCUUAUUGACUCAGCUUGCACCCAGCAUAUUGUCAAUGCACCUUCUCUCAUGUCUGAGGAUGCACACCAGCCUUUACAGAGCCACAUUUGCCUUGCUGAUGGAACUACAUCUCAAGUUCUACUUCAGGGAUCUUCGUUUGUUCCUUCAUUGAAUAGGAAGAUCAGCAAUGUGUUAUGUGUACCAGCACUGGACUAUUGUUUGCUAAGUGUUAGCAGGUUAGCUGAGGAAGGCUACCAUAUUGAGUUUAAAGACAAACAGUGUUUGGUGAAACGUGAUGGGGUUAUAUGUGCUCAAGGUAUCAUGCA
rnacentral:lncRNA from 1 species